rnacentral:rRNA from 1 species
UACAGAGGUCCCAAGCGUUGUUCGGAUUCACUGGGCGUAAAGGGUGCGUAGGCGGUCGGGUAAGUCUGAUGUGAAAUCUCGGAGCUCAACUCCGAAACUGCAUUGGAUACUAUUCGGCUUGAGAGUUGGAGGGGGGACUGGAAUUCUUGGUGUAGCAGUGAAAUGCGUAGAUAUCAAGAGGAACACCAGUGGCGAAGGCGAGUCCCUGGACAACUUCUGACGCUGAGGCACGAAAGCUAGGGGAGCAAACAGG